AAACUUUAUAGUUAAUUUAAUAAUAUUAAAUUGCAAAUUUAAAGAAGUAACAUUUUACUAAGGUUUA
rnacentral:tRNA from 1 species